AUUGAACGCUGGCGGCAGGCCUAACACAUGCAAGUCGAACGAGUGGCGGACGGGUGAGUAAUGUCUGGGAAACUGCCCGAUGGAGGGGGAUAACUACUGGAAACGGUAGCUAAUAACGCAUACCAUCGGAUGUGCCCAGAUGGGAUUAGCUAGUAGGUGGGGUAACGGCUCACCUAGGCGACGAUCCCUAGCUGGUCUGAGAGGAUGACCCGCCACACGGUAACUUGUACACGGUCCCGACUCCGACGGUAGGCAGCCGUGGGGAAUAUUGCACAUUGGGCGCAAGCCUGAUGCAGCCAUUCCGCUUGUAUGAAGAAGGCCUUCGGGUUGUAAAGUACUUUCAGCGAGGAGGCGUUACUCGCAGAAGAAGCACCGGCUAACUCCGUGCCAGCAGCCGCGGUAAUAC
rnacentral:rRNA from 1 species